AUUUGAUGAUGAUGAUGAUGAUGAUGAUGAUGAAAACAGCUUUCAUCAUCAGAAUCAUCAUCAUCAUCUUAU
rnacentral:pre_miRNA from 10 species